AAAAAGAACUCUAUCCAUUCUCUCUCCCCAAAACCGAGAGCUCCCCAAACCUCCAUGGCUGCAUUUCCUUCAUCUCCUCAAGCUUAGGCACUCACUCUCCAUUGAAGGAAAGAGAAGCUCAAGGAAGACUAGUGUACAAGGUUCAAGAGAGGUGGUUCUAGGAGAAUCUCAAAGUUUGAAGAUUUUUGAUGUUUUAGUGAGAACAAAGGAGGAAGUUUGAGAAGCUAAGGAAUCUCAUCUCCAAGUUAGAACUACAAAGUAACCGCGAAGGGAAAAACAGAGAACGGAGUUAAAAGAUCUAGCUGGGAACUAAUGACUCCAAGAAAAUAGCUUUAAGAGGCGGUAAGAUUCGUGGACGCUUAGAGAAUGUGUAUCGAUGGUGAAUGGAGCCAAGGAGCCGAGCGUUAUUUGAUUCGAGGAUGUAGUUUCAUUUUAUGUCUUUUUUUACAUGUAUUUUCCGCACUAUUUAUGUAAUGUCUUUUUAUUUUAAAUCAUGUUUUGUUUUUAAAGACAAUGGGAUCCCAUAUCCUUCUUGGUAUUUAUUUUGUAAGUAACUCUUAUUUUUACAAGUUACUUAAUAAAAUUAUGGUAUUUUCGUAAAUGUAAGUUCUAUUAAGGAUUGUAUGUAUAGUUUCGUUAAUGGUCCAAAAGUCUAGAUUAGUGGGUCAUUACACUCAAGAAGUGACAUAGACAAUAGAGGUGUCAUGAUCACAAAGAAUAUGAUGUAU